UGGGCAACCUGCCCCUCUCUCUGGGAUAACCCCGGGAAACCGGAGCUAAUACCGGAUACUCCGGCUGGAUCGCAUGGUCCGGCCGGGAAAGGUCCGCCGGAGAGGGAUGGGCCCGCGGCCUAUCAGCUUGUUGGUGAGGUAACGGCUCACCAAGGCUACGACGGGUAGCUGGUCUGAGAGGACGACCAGCCACACUGGAACUGAGAUACGGUCAGACUCCGUACGGGAGGCA
rnacentral:rRNA from 1 species